ACUUUAAUAAUUUAAUUAAAAAUAUUGGUCUUGUAAACCAAAAAUAAGAUCGCCUUUUAAAGUA
rnacentral:tRNA from 1 species